ensembl:rRNA 5S_rRNA 5S ribosomal RNA
GUCUAUGACCAUACCACCCUGAACAUGCCUGAUCUCGUAUGAUCUCAGAAGCUAAGCAGGGUUGGGCUUGGUUAGUACUUGGAUGGGAGAGAGGAAUGAGAUCGAGACA